rnacentral:tRNA from 1 species
GUGGUGAUCGCCAGCCGGCUGCUGGCGCGCGAUUUGUUGCAGCGCGGCGUGCUGGCCGCGCCGUUCGAGACGGCGUUACCCGGC